UACGUAGGUGGCAAGCGUUGUCCGGAAUUAUUGGGCGUAAAGCGCGCGCAGGUGGUUUCUUAAGUCUGAUGUGAAAGCCCACGGCUCAACCGUGGAGGGUCAUUGGAAACUGGGGAACUUGAGUGCAGGAGAGAAGAGUGGAAUUCCAGGUGUAGCGGUGAAAUGCGUAGAUAUCUGGAGGAACACCGGUGGCGAAGGCGGCGUUCUGGACUGCAACUGACACUGAGAAACGAAAGCCAGGGUAGCAAACGGG
rnacentral:rRNA from 1 species